UACAGCCACAUCAUGUUGAAACAUCAGUUCCCGUGUGAUCACCAAAGUUAAGCAAGAUUGCACCUGGUCAGUACCUAGAUGACUGACUGCUUGGGAAUACCAGGUGC